GUAACGCUUCCUCCAUCGGUGUCUGUGGCACCUCGGCCGCCCCUCGUGCCGCGGUGGGACCCGCCGCUGCUGCCGUCUGCGGGCAGCCUGCCCCGGCAGCGUUCUCAGUGCCUUGCAGGUCAUUAACCGAGCUGCCCGAUCCCUCUGUGAGGUCGGGAAUUCACGAUUACGCCUCGCAGAAAUGCGGAGUGAGCAAAGCUGGGAAAUGAAGCCGUUACCUUAAAGCCGAGCAGGCAGCUUGGGGAAGAGCUGCGUUCCCAGCUGGGCCGAGGGCGCGCGUUCGGCCUCAGCUUCCCCGGAGCAGAGCGGGAAGGUUUGCUCCUCGUGAGGAAGCUCCGGCUCUGCUUCAGCUACACGCGAUGCCAACCAUGUGGCUCCACGGCUGUUCUUAUCAGUGUUCAUCCUAUUACUCGAUAAAAAUACCCCCUCGCUGCGUGGAGAACAGUUUCACAGCAUGAAGCGGAAUGUGUAAAAUCACAUAAGCCAUUGAAUAGGAUAGAAAGGUAAAAUAAUUCAGAGGUUGGGCUCAAGCCCUGGCAGAAACAGCUGUAUGUAGAAACCUGAUUUUCCUUAACUCGCUCAGAAGCAGAGCUGACAUCUGACUGAUGAGAAUAGAGAGUGCUUUGGGAUAAACAUGUUUUUCUGCUUUCCUGAGCCCACUGAAGAAAUUCCCACACAGAAGCCAAAAUUUUGAAUUGCAGAAAGAUGAUAUCUUUUUUUUUCCUGAAAUAGAAGCAAUAAUCACAGUUUUCAUUUUAGCUGAGUUGCAGAUGAUUUUGCAGGAUAUUUUUUUUUCAAUGAAACUAAGGAUCCCUUGUCUUGAGAACAGUUCAUUCUGUGUUCUGCUGACAGCAGAAGUGCAAGUGUGAGUUGAUUGAGAAUUCUUAUAUACGGAGACUGGCAAACAGAUCCGGAAUUUUACACUGUCAGAUGAUUGAUUUGAUUUGUUUGUUGCUUCCAAAGGGCUAUCUUUUUAUACAUUUGCACAGGCCAGACUAAUUCUGUCUAACUGAUUCACUUGUAAAUAUGUAUGUGGCAUACAAAGCUUCACUUUCUUCAGAAGAUUAGGAGGAAGGACAACUGUGUGUGUGUUCUGGUUGGAAAACUGGGCUCAGGAAGAGAUAAGAGCCCUUCAAGCAGCUAUCAGGUUUUAAAAAGUUCAACCAUGGAAGGAAAGUAUGUUUUGAGGUUUUCGGCCUAUUUGGACAAUUUAUUUUGUAGCUACAAAUUGAGGUACAUGGUAGAUUUCUGUGCUUUAGGCUUCAUCUCGUAAUUAUUUUUAAAUGGAAAGCAAAUAGAACAACACAAUUAGAAUAUUAUGAAAUAAAUAUUUACUUGCUUCAAAAUAACUUUGCUAGGUUUCUAAUGAGUCAUGGCAGCAAAAGAGCCCCUUGUAUAAAAAGAUUUUUUUUUAAAUUGAAAUGCUGUUAUAAUUUCACUUGAAUGUAGUAAUUUAAGAAUUCUUAAAUUCUUCUUGUAGACCAUCCUUGUGCCUUCUGCUUUCUGUGCACAAACAAGACAACGCAGUCAUCACAAAGCUGAGGCACAGGAAGACCUAAGGGAUUGCUUCAGCGUAGCAUAGGAAGCAUUGUGUAGAUGAGAAUGUGGGACUAGUUUUUUCUGACUUACUUUCUCCUUUCGAAUAACUGUAAGAAUAAGAGAUAUUGCCAGAGUUUGACUGAAGAGAUCUGAGAGCAUUUGACCUGCACUCUGUUCGAGAGUAACAUUUUAAUUCUCUCUUUGAACAAGAACAAACCCAGUAAUUGACGAACAAUUACUAGUGCUGGUAAUAAAAGGCUAGCAGAUUUCUGCUAAGUCCUAGCACCAGAAUACUUCUUGAACUGUGUGAAUUGGCUUCAUUUUUGUCAUGAACAUGCCUAAGCUGCCUAGUCUACUUUUUCAUACUUAGAAUGAGGGCUAUUCUACUGCAGAAGCUAAGACUUACAUUUCCUCAAAGCCUAAUUUCUGGGCAUUCUUCAAUCUUCAACUCAGUAGGUUUGUUUUCUCUCUAAAAAAAUGUCAGUUUUUUAUUAUCCUAGUGAGAUCCAGGUGUUUCUCAAGUAAAAUUAAAAAUACAUCCUGAAAAACAGAUUCAAGCUAUUCAGUAUGCACCCCACUUUCAGAAAAUCAAGCUCUUCAGUUCUCAAAAGCCCAUAUGCUAUUUAGAACCACAGCACUUGAUUAAUGUGAUAAAAUUACACCUUUAAUUAGAGUAAGCUUUCACAGGUAUUACUGACAAAGUUUAAAAAAUCCAAACUAUCUGGUGAUUAUCUCUAAAAAUUGUGAAGGAUUUUUUUACUUCUCCCUUCCACAUGUUAUCCAUUGUUUUAAUCAAAGUAUUUUGUCUGUUUUUUUAAACUUGUCUAAAAAACGUGACUAUAGUGUCUUAAAGAUGGUUCUGCAUAGAAAAACAGUACCACACCUUUACACCAUCUUCUGUCACAGUACCAAUAGCAAAGAAUUGUUUCUACUGAACCUACUAGGUUGAACCAACAUAAGUAGUUUUCUUUUCCCAAUACAAGGCUAUGACCAUGCUCAAGUCUUAUCUCCCAGUGUAGCGUUUCCUCUACAAGCUCCAUCUGUAAUUUUUGUGACUUCAUUGUAUCAAUGCACUCAGAAUAUGCUGAAUACACAUUAAGUUUUCUUCCUUGUGGUCCUGACAUCAGGAACUGUGGUGGUGUCAUUGCGCCUUCGUGAGCUCUUUGGAAGCUCAUUUUUAGCUUUGACAACUGGCCCAUCUGUUUGGGCAGUACUUCAAGAGAGCCAAAUUUAUCCCGUAAACACUUGGAGAUAUCAGUAGUCAACUUUUUGGCAGUCAUGCAUAACUCUUUGAAAGUUUAUCUGUGGUUGAAUGUUUUGUAGGAGUUUUGCCUGUUGUUAUAGCUGACAUCGAAUGUUAGGUUUAGAAUUACUGCUAAAAUGUGUAUCUUUCAUUGCAGAUAAGGAAAAGGUUCCAAGGGAUUAAAUCAGUGAUGCCGAGCCCAGUAGUUUCCAGAAGCUGCUAUUCAAACUAAUCUGAAACCUCCCUCCUCUAUGCAUGCUUGCACAAACCACAGCACAGUAAUGCUUCCCCUGACUUAAUGUUCUCCUUCUACACUUCUAUCUAGAAGCAGAUUUGUGCUGUGUCUUGUUACUUAGUUUGGGCUUGGGAUUUUUCUCUAUUGAAAAGUAUGAAUACUUAAGAGUACUUUUGUAAGAAACUUGAGCUUACGGGUGGAUUUUACCUCUAGCUUUGACAACAGUGUUUGCUUUUUCAAUAGCAAGUUCUGUGAUUUCCUGUGACAGCUUUGACCUCAGACCAGAACAUCUCCCUUCUGGAAUGUCACCUUAAACUGCAACACAUGAACAGAAUUAAAUUCAUUGCAGGGUUUUGAGGAUGAUCAAUCAAAACGAAAUGAGAUCUCAUGAUUUUAGAAAUAGAUCUUUGUAGCUAAAUGCAAAAAAUGAGGUUUGAUAUAGGUAUGACUGUGUGUUAUGCAGGGGCUGUCAGAUGCAGGUCAGACAAAAUGAUAUACCGGCUUCUGCUCCCUCAGUCUAAAGUUGUAUGAAAACAAUCAUUCAGCAGCAUCUAUAAUAGACUGUACACUAGCUGAUGUGAUUUGCACUGGCCAACCUUGAAAAUCUUUAGGGCACAAAGUUCCAUUCCAAUUAGAACCGUGAAAGAUCCAGGUGAAUGUUACAUGUGGAUGGAUUACGUUGACUAAACCUUCAUCUAACGGGUCUGAACCCAGUAGGCUACGUGUAGUCUUUUGGGUAGUUAUGAAUAGAUGAACUGCAUAAUAUACUGCCAUGGUUAUUUGUGGAAGAGAAUUGUCAAGUGUCAGGGAACUAAUGACACUGCCAAAUGCUUGUAAUUACAGUAUUGCAGUGGAAGAAAUAGUUUUAUUUGAAUACAUUUCUCUGCUCCUAUUAAUCUCUUAUAUAUAUCCAUGGGAUAACUAAUGUUUUCUUAGUGCCUCUGGAAUAAAUACAGUGAACAGUGAACAACUUUAAGGAUUGCAUAGCUGAGAAAAUAUGUAGUUAAAUUUUGAAAGUAGUAUUUCACAUCAGUAGAGUAUUACUGAUACUUUUUGUAUCCUCCUUUCUAGAAUACCUUAUACAAAGAGAGAACCCAAUUUCUGGCCAUGUGUAUCUUCAGAAUGUUGUACGCAAACAUAUUCACUACGGAAGGAAGGCUGCAUGUUACUAUGCUAUCUGAGACCAUUUGUGUUAAUCCGGAGCACAGAAAUUCAGAUGUCUGUACAUCCCUUGUCUGUAAAGAUGGAGCCUUGCAUGGCAUCCUCUGGUAAGUCUCAGGCCUGUAUAGCUGCAAAAUCUGUUGCUUCAGCAGUACUGUGGAAGACUGCAGUGAAGGACUACAGCUGCUGACAGUCUUUUUGCCACUGGCCUUUUACUGAACCUUCACUGCAGGGCCUGGGCAGCAACUGCCCAAGUUCAGUCCAUUGCAGCGUAAAGCAGGAGAAAUGAAGUGAGGUUUUGGAUCCUCCCACUUUUGUAAUGCUUUGGAAAUGAGAAAAGAUUAACUUUCUCUGCAGAGGCUGGUAAUCAAAACAGUGAGAAUACUUCUUGUUUUUUUGGUUUUUUUUCCUUGUCCUGCACAGGACGCCAUAUAUAAGCUCAGACAGAUACUGAGAGAAAAAUUGAAAGACAGCAUCUACAUUUUCUGUACAUUCCUUCCCUCUUUGUCUGCUGGUAUGAUCACACUUGGUCUACCUUGCUGUACUCUAUAUGCAGACUGAGUAAGGGAUGUACUAGAAGGGCCUCCCAAGAGGAGUGAACUCUGAGUCUGCUGAAUGAAGGUGAUAUGCCACAGUAGUGGCAGUAGUCAUAGAGAACAACUGAGGUAUUGCCAUUAUUUCCAGAGUUCAGAGAGUGAAUACUUUUCCAGUGUCCAGUUGCUGCAUAACUAAGGAAAAAGAAGUAAUCUAACAGAUACCAUGAUAUGAGAAAUCACCCUUGUGUAAAACCACUUAUUGUACAUGAAGACAUGCAUGGCACAAACAGACUGAAUUGGGACUGGUGAUCAAUGCCUCUUUCAGUAAAAGAACGAGAAAGGAUAAAAGCCAGAAAGUGGAAGUUUACAACAAACAAACAAGACAAUUCUCCAGUUAACACGUGGUUAAGUCUCUACAGAUGCUACAUGGGGAAAGAACAUCUCCCACUCACAGGAGAGUGAGAGAGGGACAGGGGAAGACAGUUUUUAGUCAUCGCUUCGCUCUUCGUAACGCCAUACACACAUGUACGACUGGUAAGGACUAUGUGGGUCAGAGACACUGAAACAUCUCUAUUAGAAAAUAAUGAACAACCAUAUCACUUUUUUUUUUUUGUCUUUAGUAUGUUCUUUAGUAUGUAACAACAGAUUUCUUGAAUUCUGAAAAGCACUUCACAAAUUUAUUUUUAAAAUACUUGCGAGUUACUGUUGUAGCCUGCAGAUAUUUCCCAUAGAAUCAUAAAACAAAGUUAUACACUAUGCAAAAUAAAUAAAAGUAUUAUUCACAGUGUCAUUGGAAAAAAUACCUUAAUAAAAAUGCUUGAAAAUACAUGAGCUGCUCUGAAAGCAAUGCCUCCUAUUUUAUUACAUUGGAUCCUAAUAUCAGAGGCAGA